rnacentral:tRNA from 1 species
CGGGGUAUAGCUCAAUGGUGGAGCACUUGCCUAGUAUGUGCAAGGCCUGGGUUCAAUCCCCAGUACAGCAA